rnacentral:misc_RNA from 1 species
ACACGCGCACCACUUUUUCAGCUUUCCUUUCCCCGCACUUACGGGCACACGCGCACAUUCAGCAGGACACCCUGCGAGGUGCGAGGAAUGAGCACCUGCGUCGGCGGCGUUUUCUUUACCUCUUCCCGACGGACACCGCAAACUUGCUGACGGGCGCAUGGACGAGCACAAUCACCUGCUCUUACACCAGCGCGACUGGCCAUCUCUCCACCUCCUCAUUGUUUCCGUUUCGACUCUCUUGUUAGUUCUUUCCCCUUGGGUGACCUCAUCCAAGUGAGAGGCAGGCGUAGCCGGCAGGUAAGCCGCUCUGACCUUCUUUCCUUCGACGCAGCGUUGCCGCGCGAGAAAGAUGGAGCCGCGCCGAUGGAGGCCACUGUUCUACAACCCUUUCACGGAGCGAAGACGACGCAUGGAGUACAUUCCCUUGUACCGUGGCUUUUUCCGCACGAUGCCGCUGCACCGCUGGUGCAUCAAAGACAUUCAAAAGACGCUCGGCUACGCCGCCGUCAACCCGUCCCUCUUCGGCUUUCCCGACCAACCCACGUGCGUUGUGAAUACAGCGUACUUUCUUCCGUCCCUGCGGAGUCGGCUGCGCGGUGUAUGGGCCUUCGGCACGGAGCGCGGGUGUAAGAGCAUCAUCGUGCCCCACUCAUGCAGUGGGGAGGCUUUUGACGCGCUCGAUGCCCGUCUCAUCGAGCCACUCUUCCGCUGGAAUCCUGGCAUUGAGUACGUGUAUUUAUCGCGCCACUGCGAGCCGAUGGCGCCGCAGCUCCUAGGCCCUCUCAGCCGCUGCCAUAAUCUGCGCGAGGUGACCUUGGAGGGGUGGAACGACGCCGUUGCCGUGCAUCGCGUUAUGAUGGCGUGCAAGCACGCCGACGUGCUGGAGACGUACAGCCUCGAUGACCCGCCGCGCAACUGGCGCAACGAGCUCUCUGUUCAGGCACUCUCCACCCUAAUCGAGAUGCACCCCAAGCUGCGCGCUGUCAAGUCACAUCGUCUCUACCUCGGUGACUGGUAUGAGGCAACCCGCUUCUCCCGAUGCAAGCACAACGUCGCCCUCAUCCCCUUCUCGUGCGAUUUUGUGAUCGUGUUCUACGCUAUUUUUCUCUGUGUUGUGUGCAUACCUGCGUAUGGCGCGUACCGCCUAGUCUACCGCCUUUGCGCGGGUCGCUUGUCGGACGCCUACACGUGGUUCUGGAGCGUCAUCGCAUUUGUGGUCACGCUCUCGGCGGUCGUCGCCUUCGACUCCGUCGGGCGAUCCUGCCGCGGUAGUGGCUGGGUUCAUAUGCAGAAGUACUUCAUCUUUGCGAAGCGGCGCGUCGACAUGUGGAUGGGCGUGCACCGGACGGCACUCGUUGCCAGAAAGAAGUAACACACGCGUACACACACUCUGUACUCGGUGAGCGUGGCGAUCAUGGAAGCGUGCGUGUGCGUUGGUGGUGCUCUCGCUGCCUUUGAGGGAUAAGGGUAAGCACAUACAAGCGCUGCGGCUGUGCCUAGCGGGCGCACAUCUGAACCGACUCCGCUCACUGUCCAGACGCGAAUACUCACCCGAACGAGUACUUGCAUGCGCGUGCGUGUGUUGUUUGGCUGCUUUUCAUAUGGGCGUGUCUGUGACUCUUGUGCGUGCAGGAGGCUCCCACUACAUUGACUUGCGUUACAAAUCUUAUCGUUUUUCUGUGUUCGUGUACGAUCGAGGCGAGGCGGG